UACGUAGGGGGCAAGCGUUGUCCGGAUUUAUUGGGCGUAAAGAGCGUGUAGGCGGCCAGACAGGUCAGCUGUGAAAACUCGAGGCUCAACCUCGAGACGUCGGUUGAAACCGUCUGGCUAGAGUCCGGAAGAGGAGAGUGGAAUUCCCGGUGUAGCGGUGAAAUGCGCAGAUAUCGGGAAGAACACCCGUGGCGAAAGCGGCCACCUGGACUGUACCUGACGCUCAAACGCGAAAGCUAGGGGAGCGAACGGG
rnacentral:rRNA from 1 species